rnacentral:lncRNA from 10 species
GAUGCAUGGGCAGUUAGGGACAUGCAAGAAUCUUUGUAAUGCAACAAGAGAGAAGUUACAAGGCAGCACGGAAGUCAAUGCCGGUGAACCCAGAUGGCCUGGUGAGAGGAGCCUGGACUAGAAGGUAGAUGUGUGACCUUGGGCCAGCUGUUUGAGCUCUCUGAGCCUUAGCUUCCUCCUCUGUGAUAUGAGGAUGAGACUCUCACAGGCUGUUGGUUGGAGUGACUGAGGGAGUGUGAGUAAAGCUCUCAGCAUUGUGCCAGCACAUAGUAGGUGAUCAGGAAACAAAUGGCUCUGAAAGGCACAAGUCCUGUAGGAGUUUAAGAGAGUGGACAUUUCUCUCUGCCUCAUCUCCCUAUUCCCUGCACCACCUACACUUUCCUCUCUGACCCUACUCUCUCUUUCCUGAUAAGGAAUUACUCUCACUUCCACCACCCGAUGUAUGGAAACUGCUAUACUUUCAAUGACAAGAACAACUCCAACCUCUGGAUGUCUUCCAUGCCUGGAAUCAACAACGGUCUGUCCCUGAUGCUGCGCGCAGAGCAGAAUGACUUCAUUCCC